GUUGUUGAAAUGUCCAUAAGAGAAAGCCACCCAAGAUAUUUAUUUGCUUUAUUCGGGAUUGUUGUAGUUGAGGUUGUUAUCGUAGCUGUAACUGUAGUCAUUUAUAUACGGUAUCGAAGAAGAAAAGCAAAACAUGCAAAGAAAGGGCACCGAGAUAUAAAUUUUAAUACAGCCCAAUCAGGGAAAGAUUACCCGUACAUGAAGUACAGCGAUUAUAAAGUAUGGAGGAAAAACAAUAAUGUGUUGAGUCAGUUUGUUAUGAAUCAUUUUAAUGACGUGAAGACUGGACUGUUACGAACAAAUCUUGUUACUGCUGAUAACCUUAAGGAUUUGGCCAAGGACAACCCAUUUAACGAUGCAAAUAAACUUGUAGACUUGUUAACGGAACGUGGAGAAAAUGCUAUGUCUAUAAUAGUAGAAACCUUCAAAGAGUUUGAUGGACUGCAAGAAAUUGCAGUCAAGCUAGACAAAGACUUGUCUAAAGAUGAAAGAAUGAAAGAUGAAGACUACACACUAUGGACGAAAAAUUACCCAACGCUGGUUUUAAAUGUUAUGG